UGAAAAAGCCAUGUCAUGUCUAAU
rnacentral:piRNA from 1 species